rnacentral:rRNA from 1 species
UACGUAGGGCGCAAGCGUUAUCCGGAAUUAUUGGGCGUAAAGAGCUCGUAGGCGGUUUGUCGCGUCUGCCGUGAAAGUCCGGGGCUCAACUCCGGAUCUGCGGUGGGUACGGGCAGACUAGAGUGAUGUAGGGGGAGACUGGAAUUCCUGGUGUAGCGGUGAAAUGCGCAGAUAUCAGGAGGAACACCGAUGGCGAAGGCAGGUCUCUGGGCAUUAACUGACGCUGAGGAGCGAAAAGCGUGGGGAGCGAACAGG